rnacentral:rRNA from 1 species
UGCUUAACACAUGCAAGUCGAACGCAACCUUCGGGUUGAGUGGCGGACGGGUGAGUAACGCGUGAGAAUCUGCCUUGGGGUCGGGGACAACCACUGGAAACGGUGGCUAAUACCGGAUAAGCCUUUGGGUAAAAGAUUUAUUGCCCCAAGAGGAGCUCGCGUCUGAUUAGCUAGUUGGUGAGGUAAAAGCUCACCAAGGCAGCGAUCAGUAGCUGGUCUGAGAGGACGAUCAGCCACACUGGGACUGAGACACGGCCCAGACUCCUACGGGAGGCAGCAGUGGGGAAUUUUCCGCAAUGGGCGAAAGCCUGACGGAGCAAGACCGCGUGAGGGAGGAAGGCUCUUGGGUUGUAAACCUCUUUUCUCAGGGAAGAAGCUCUGACGGUACCUGAGGAAUCAGCCUCGGCUAACUCCGUGCCAGCAGCCGCGGUAAUACGGAGGAGGCAAGCGUUAUCCGGAAUUAUUGGGCGUAAAGCGUCCGCAGGUGGCGAUUCAAGUCUGCUGUCAAAGCACGGGGCUUAACUCCGUUAAGGCAGUGGAAACUGAAUAGCUAGAGUGCCGUAGGGGUAGAGGGAAUUCCCGGUGUAGCGGUGAAAUGCGUAGAGAUCGGGAAGAACAUCGGUGGCGAAAGCGCUCUACUGGACGGCAACUGAACACUCAGGGACGAAAAGCUAGGGGAGCGAAUGGGAUUAG